rnacentral:lncRNA from 1 species
ACAGACGUGAGCUAGUUCUGGAGAAAGGAUGACGUACUCAGGAACAUGCCUCCCAGUCAUUCACUCAGCCAGUCUGGCGGUGUGCAUUGAGAGCCGGCCGGGCGCUAAGCCUCGUCCUGGGCCGUGGACUGAGGGUCCCUACUUGGCUCAGAGCAGUCUCAUCUGACCUUGGACUCACCGUGUGAACCUCCAGCUUGACCCCUAGGCAUGCUGGGAUCCUGGAAUACCAAGCGAAGUUCAGAUAACAGCAUUUUCCAUCUGUCUCAUCUCAGGC